rnacentral:rRNA from 1 species
CCUACGGGAGGCAGCAGUGAGGAAUCUUGGUCAAUGGGCGCGAGCCUGAACCAGCCAAGUAGCGUGAAGGAUGACUGCCCUACGGGUUGUAAACUUCUUUUAUAAAGGAAUACAGUGAGGCACGUGUGCCUUUUUGUAUGUACUUUAUGAAUAAGGAUCGGCUAACUCCGUGCCAUCAGCCGCGGUAAUACGGAGGAUCCGAGCGUUAUCCGGAUUUAUUGGGUUUAAAGGGAGCGUAGAUGGGUUGUUAAGUCAGUUGUGAAAGUUUGCGGCUCAACCGUAAAAUUGCAAUUGAUACUGGCAGUCUUGAGUACUGUUGAGGUAGGCGGAAUUCGUGGUGUAGCGGUGAAAUGCUUAGAUAUCACGAAGAACUCCGAUUGCGAAGGCAGCUUACUAAACUGCCACUGACAUUGAUGCUCGAAAGUGUGGGUAUCAAACAGGAUUAGAUACCCGUGUAGUC